rnacentral:rRNA from 1 species
UGAUGACGAGACGCUAAGGCGUUGAAGCAGUGUUCUCAGACUUCCAAGAAAAGCUCGCAAUGUCACAAAUAAGAAAUGCCUGUACCAUAACCGACACAGGUGGGUAGGUAGAGUAUACUAAGGGGCGCGAGAUAACUCUCUCUAAGGAACUCGGCAAAAUGACUCCGUAACUUCGGGAGAAGGAGUGCCUUAUUUAUAAGGUUGCAAUAACAAGAUCCAAGCAACUGUUUAUCAAAAACACAGGUCUCCGCUAAGUCGUAAGACGAUGUAUGGGGGCUGACGCCUGCCCAGUGCCAGAAGGUUAAAGAAGUUGGUUAGUGUAUGCGAAGCUGAUGACUGAAGCCCUGGUGAACGGCGGCCGUAACUAUAACGGUCCUAAGGUAGCGAAAUUCCUUGUCGGGUAAGUUCCGACCCGCACGAAAGGCGUAAUGAUUUGGAUACUGUCUCGGAGAGAGGCUCGGUGAAAUAGACUUGUCUGUGAAGAUGCGGACUACCUGCACCAGGACAGAAAGACCCUAUGAAGCUUUACUGUAACUUGAAAUUGGAAUUGGACUUUGCUUGCGCAGUAUAGGUGGGAAGCGUUGAAAAUAUUCUUGCGGGAGUAUUGGAGCUAUCAGUGAGAUACCACUCUUGUAAUGUUAGAUUUCUAACUUUGAACCAUAAUCUGGUCAAAGAACAGUUUCAGGUGGGCAGUUUGACUGGGGCGGUCGCCUCCCAAAUGGUAACGGAGGCGUACAAAGGUUUCCUCUGAACGGAUAGAAAUCGUAUCUAGAGUGUAAAGGCAUAAGGAAGCUUGACUGUGAGACCUACAAGUCGAGCAGGGACGAAAGUCGGUCUUAGUGAUCUGACGGUACUGAGUGGAAAGGCCGUCACUCAACGGAUAAAAGUUACUCUAGGGAUAACAGGCUGAUCUCCCCCAUGAGUUCACAUCGACGGGGAGGUUUGGCACCUCGAUGUCGGCUCAUCGCAUCCUGGGGCGGUAGUACGUCCCAAGGGUUGGGCUGUUCGCCCAUGAAAGCGGUACGCGAGCUGGGUUCAGAACGUCGUGAGACAGUUCGGUCCAUAUCCGGUGUAGGCGCUAGAAUAUUGAGAGGAGCCUUCUUUAGUACGAGAGGACCGAGAAGGACACACCGCUGGUGUACCAGUUAUCGUGCCAACGGUAAACGCUGGGUAGCUAUGUGUGGAGUGGAUAACCGCUGAAAGCAUCUAAGUGGGAAGCCCACCUCGAGAUGAGUAUUCUC